GCACACUUAGCUCAGUGGUUAGAGAACCCUUCCAGAGUUUGAGGUGAACUAAGUCAUGGGUUCAAAUCCCAUAGUGCACA
rnacentral:tRNA from 1 species